rnacentral:lncRNA from 1 species
CUGGAGGCGCUAAUGCCGCUGGAUAUGGCAGCGGUGGUGGUGAAGGCGGUGGGGCUGGCUCUGGUGGUGCUAUAGGAUACAAUGGUGGUGGUGGUGGUGGUGGUAAUGGUGGAGGGGGCGGUGCAGGUUAUGCUGGAGCAGCCGGUGGUGCGGGAUAUGGUAGUGGUGGUGGUGAAGGUGGUGGUGCUGGAUAUGGAUCAGGAGGAGGCAAAGGAGCUGGUGGUGGCGGCGGCGGAGGAGCCGGUGGUGGUGCUGGAGCAGGAUCCGGUGCUGGUGGUGCUGGCUAUGGUGGUGGUGAAGGUGGUGGUGCUGGAUAUGGUUCAGGAGGAGGCAAAGGAGCCGGCGGUGGCGACGGCGGUGGAGCCGGUGGUGGUGCUGGAGCAGGAUCCGGUGUUGGUGGUGCUGGUUAUGGUGGAGGUGAAGGAGCUGGAUCUGGAGGAGGCUAUGGUGCUGGUGGUGCUGGUGGUGCAGGAUAUGGAGGUGGUGGUGGUGGAGGUAGUGGUGGAGGUGGUGGGGCAGGAUCUAGUGUUGGAGGAGCUCAUGGAGGUGGAUAUGGCGGUGGCGGUGGAGAAGGAGCUGGUCAUGGAGGUGGAGCAGGGGGAGCUAGUGGUGGAGGAGGUGGUGGCUCUGGUGGUGGUGGUGGAGGCGGCUAUGGUGCUGGUGGUGGAUAUGGAGCUGGUGGUGGGAGCGGUGAAGGUGGUGGCCAUGGAGGUGGAUAUGCACCAUAAGAGUUACCAUUGUGUUACUAAUGCAUUGAUACAAUUAUGCAAGUUUCAUAUAAAACUAAGAAAAGAAAAACCUACCAAUAAG